AUGGGGUUCCGGUCGUAUGUGGGUCGUGUAACCAAAGAGUGUAACCUCGCUGUCGAGAAGCUUCUGCUCAAGAUGAAGGAGGUGGUGGAUUCAAGGACGAAGGGUAAUAGUACGGGGUUGAUUAAGGGAGGCAAAAUUGGCGUUGGCAUUGGCAAUGGCAAUGAUCCUGGUGUUGUGCAAAAUGGAUUUCAUCAUGUGGCUUAUAAGGGAAACGGUAAAGCGGUUGACAAGCAAGAUGUUGGGAGAAAUCGUAUAUCUGAUGAUGUUGUUUGA